CCGGCGGCACGCAGGUGUCCACCCUCGCACUGACCCAGCCUCCAUUCAUUCAAAAAAAAGAAAAAAACAUGGCGAAAACAACACCACGGAGGCGGCCGCGGCCAGCGGCCACGCCACGAGACGACGACGGCGACGACGGCGACGCGAAUGAUUGGUAGGAGAGAGGGGCGUACGGCGGGGCGAUCCGGGCAGGGCGGAAGGCGACAACGGGAAGUGGGCCGCGACAAGAUCCAUGAUCCGAGGAGAUGGAAAAUACAGGGAGGUUAGAGAAAGAUAUUUUUACAGUGAGAUGGCGUUGGCCAAAACUGGAUGUCUGCAAUGCUGCAGCCAAAGCCAUGACAUUGUCUAUACAGUACAUGUCAGCAAGUGGAACGCAGAACAGUUACUCUGAGAAGGUACCCAGAUGGGUCAUGAGAGCAGCUCAAUGCCUGGUGUUGGCAGUCAUGAUGUGGUGAGAUAUAAUUUCAAGACGACAAUGCCCUUAGGUUGGUCGAACAUCCAUUAUAAGGAGGAUUCGAAAUAAGUGGGGCAGUAAUUUGUUUGAUGAUGCUUUUUAUUUGGUCUGCCGUACCAGUCCACCAAUCCCUGUUAUACAUUUGGGUAUUAUCAGAAGAGCACAGUCACGUGAUGCACAUGUGAUGCCAUGGAUUCUUGGACGAAUGGCAUGAUCAUCGAUUCAUGGUGCCUGCUCUUGGCAUCUGACACGACAGCCUGUAGGUGCCGCAGGAAAAUGACAACAGCACCUUAAGUUAACGCAGCUAGCGCCCGACAACGUGUUAAUGAGGUCUACUCACAUCUCGUAAAGAAUCAAACGUGCUGUACUGUCUUCUAAUCUUAUAAAACGGUUGUUUUCUUCUUAAAACUGAUAAAUAAGUUGAACUUACAAAAUAUAUGCUACAAAACUUCCAAAGCUAAUGUCAGAAAUUUCUAGGCAGCAAUCUACUACCUCUGUCCGGAAUUAACUGUCACUGAAAUGAGUGUUCACCCAUUUCAGCUACAGUUAAUUCCGGACGGAGGGAAUAUUUUCUAAUGGGAGUAUAUUUUGGAGUUAAACUCGAGAAUUGCUCCUCGUUUGCACUUUGUAUUGAUUGUUGAAAUUUAAAGUAUUUCUGUGUUGGUGAAUUGACAUGCACAUCUGAUCCAGUGCUAGCUCAUAUAAUGUAUGUUGUUUCACAUUAGGCAAGUACAUAACGAUCUUUAUAAUAGAUGUGUGGCCGGUGCUGCACCGGGUGGAUGGACAAGAGAUACUCCAUUAUUGCCCGAGAACCAACUGUUUCACAUGAAUAUUUUGUACGGUCUCCAUUUAUAUUUAGGUUGGUCUGACUUAAAAAGGCAAAGAGAUGCCAUUUUAGUACUAAUGGGGGAACUCAGAGAUAUGUUCUCUCUCGUGGUCAUUUGGGUCAGGUUACAUUUUAUUGCAUAAUACAAAUGCCAUAUUUAAUUAUGUGCAUAGACAAAAAUGCACUUUAUGCGCAUAGAUUUUAAAAAAUAUGUAGAUUUCCAUAGAUAUUUUCCUGCUUAGGACAAAACUUAAAUCCUUGAGUCAUUUUGGGAUCAGCUCGUAUGAGAAUGUCAUAUGAGAAUGCCACCUGCUUUCAUCAUAUGGAGGGCACUGUAUUUUAGCUACUUGGCUUUAGCUGGCAAUCUCAAUAUAGUAUAAGCUAGCUACAGUUGAGUUAACCUAGAUUAAUGAUCCUGUGAUCUCCUUUUGAGACUGAAGAUUUUUUUUGGAAAGCUCACCAAGAGUGAAUGAUCAUUUUUGAAUCUUUUAGAUUGAUUGGUGCAUGGAAAGAAAGGUUCCGGAAGAUGCAUUUGGUUGACUGGCAGCAGAGAGGAGAAGAUUACUGCAUGUGGCGAUUAGGGCAUGUACAAUGGUGGCAUCACUAUACUGGUGCCCCAUGCUCCACCUAGAUAAAAGCAUUUCUUGGAAGGAAAAGCGAGUGUUUCCCAAAUGACGCUAAGGCCUUAAAAGGAAGAUGACAAACAAACAUCUGCGGGGGAAAAUGUGCAGCUGAGGGGUUGGAUGUUGUGCAGGCAUGAGUUUUUUCCUUUUGCCCAAUCGAGCUUGGCUUUGGGAAGAAGAGAAAGGCGUUUGAUGGAGGCAGGUCCGUCCGUCCGUCCGUCCCUCAGGUGGGGAGAAGAGCCUGUGCUCCACCUGGCCAGUGAAGUGGUGGCUGGCUGCCCUGUCAAUGCCUUUGCCUUUUUUCACAAAAGAGGUAAAAAGGAGCUGUGCACUUGAAACUUUGAUGCUGGCAAGCCUACACGUACCGGGCAUUAUGGGAGUACCUCCUGUCUGUGGAGCUUGUGAGAUGAUGCAGCAGCAGCAGCAGCAACAGCAACAGUCAAUUUGGGUAUAAGUAAAUCCUGCUGUGCAAUGCAAUGCACACUGAGCAGUGGGUGCCCCUUUUUCUUUUUCUGCAGAUCAAUGAUUGGGAGUUUUGAGGCAUAUGGUAGGUACUUUAUGGUUUCUUUUACCCCUUAGGCGGCCGCUGUAGGGCACUAGCUGAGCUUGUGCCCCAGAUUGUUUGCAACACAACACAGUUAAGCAGCAUGAGUCCAGGAACUGGGAUUUGAGAGUGAGCAAUAUACUACUAUGUAGAAUUCUGCUGCGGCUGCAAGGCAAAAACAUUCCCUGUGCACAAGGACAAGUGUGCCUGUAUCAUCAUAUUGGAAGCAUGCGUUUGUUUAUUAAUAAUCUCGCCAUGGAAACCGGUAAGCAGCAGAUCCCAAGAGCCUCGCCUUGGCUGUCCCAAGUACUCCCCCCACAAGCACAAGCACUGGAGUCCAAUCCACUCCAGCAGCGGCAGCGGCAAGCAGGGCAGGUGGCCAUCUCAUCUCAUCUCAUCCCACCCCAUUUCCAUGCACCCUCUUGUGUGAUGCAAACAAUGUUGCAGCCAGCGCAGUCUGACAGAGGAGAUGAACAGUUCGCAGGCCCCUCCACCAGGUCCGGUGCGGCAGGCAGCGCCUUUAUCGGCCGCUACAGUCCUGGUCCUCGGUCGGCCCGCGAUCGCCCGCCCGCCCUUGCCAGUGGCGAUGAUCUGGCGUCUGGGAUGAUGGGCGGGAUCGGAAGAUCACGGGCGCGCCGUACUGCGGGUGGAGGAGCAUCAGGACCGUCGGCGCGUGGACGUACUUGGGCGACAGCCGGAACUCGAACCGCUGGAGGAUGAUGGCCACCGUGAGCUUGGCCUCCAGGAGCGCCAGGUUCUGGCCGAUGCACAUCCGCGCGCCCAGCCCGAAGGGUAUGAAGGCCGUCGGGUGCUUGGCCGCCCGCGCCACGCCGUCCGCGAACCGCGCCGGGUUGAACUGGGUCGCGUCCGGCCCCCACAGCCGCGCGUCGUGGUGCACGGCCAUGAUGGGGAUCAGCAGCUCUGUGUCGCGUGGGAUGUGAUAGCCGCCGAGCACCACGUCGGACUUGGCCCGCCGCACCGUCGCCACCGCCGGAGGGUACAGCCGCAGCGUCUCGUUCAGGAUCAUGCCGAGCUGUCAGGGGAAUCGGCAGCACGCGGUCAGGUCACGCACUACUUUCUGGGAGGAGGCUGGUUUGAAAUGAUGGUGGAAAUGUGCGUGUCAGGGUGCCAGGGAACACGUUGCUUACAGUCUUGAGCUUGGCGAGCUGCUCGCGGCAGGGGAUGUCGUGCGCGCCGCAGACUUCGAGGACCUCAUGCCGGGCACGCUCCUGCCACUCCGGGUGCAUGGCGAGCACCACGGUGGUCCAUGUCAGGAGGUUGGACGUCGUCUGCUUGCCGGCGAAGAAGAACGUCUUGCACUCCUCCACGAUGUCGUUCACGGUGAUGGGGCUGACCGGCUGCCCUCUCCUGCCGCCGUUGCUGCUGGCGUUGAUCAUGAGGCCGAGGAGGUCCUUGGCGCACCCUUGGAGCCUCUCGUCGUCGGUAGCCUCCUGCCGCCGGCCGAUGAGCGUCACCAGGUUCUUCCUGAUCUCCUUGUCCAGUUUCCACGAGCUCGUGUUCUUCUUGGUCGGCAAGAACCUGGAUGCGGAUGAAGACCUUGCGGAAUGCCUCGGAGGCGAAGGCCAUGAGCUGCGUCUGCAGCUUGAAGACUGCCUUGCCGUCCUCGUAGCUCCGGCCGAAGGCCGUGCGCGUGAUGGCGUCCUCUGUCACGAUCUGGAACCACUCGGACACGUCGAUCUCGACCUCGCCGGACGCGGGGUCGGCCAUGGUGACCCACUUCUCCGCCAUGUCCACCACCGUCUUCCC